rnacentral:rRNA from 1 species
CUUUCUUUGCUGGCGACCGGCGCACGGGUGAGUAACACGUAUCCAACCUGCCCUUUACUCGGGGAUAGCCUUUCGAAAGAAAGAUUAAUACCCGAUAGUAUAAUGAUUCCGCAUGGUUUCAUUAUUAAAGGAUUCCGGUAAAGGAUGGGGAUGCGUUCCAUUAGGUUGUUGGUGAGGUAACGGCUCACCAAGCCUUUGAUGGAUAGGGGUUCUGAGAGGAAGGUCCCCCACAUUGGAACUGAGACACGGUCCAA